UAGGGAAUCUUCCGCAAUGGGCGAAAGCCUGACGGAGCAACGCCGCGUGAGUGAUGAAGGUCUUCGGAUCGUAAAACUCUGUUAUUAGGGAAGAACAAAUGUGUAAGUAACUAUGCACGUCUUGACGGUACCUAAUCAGAAAGCCACGGCUAACUACGUGCCAGCAGCCGCGGUAAUACGUAGGUGGCAAGCGUUAUCCGGAAUUAUUGGGCGUAAAGCGCGCGUAGGCGGUUUGUUAAGUAUGAUGUGAAAGCCCACGGCUCAACCGUGGAGGGUCAUUGGAAACUGGAAAACUUGAGUGCAGAAGAGGAAAGUGGAAUUCCAUGUGUAGCGGUGAAAUGCGCAGAGAUAUGGAGGAACACCAGUGGCGAAGGCGACUUUCUGGUCUGUAACUGACGCUGAUGUGCGAAAGCGGGGGGAUCAAACAGG
rnacentral:rRNA from 1 species